UACAGAGGGGGCAAGCGUUAUUCGGAAUUAUUGGGCGUAAAGGGCGCGUAGGCGGCUUUGCAAGUGACGGGUGAAAUCCCUCGGCUUAACCGAGGAACUGCCUGUCAAACUGCAUGGCUUGAGACCGGGAGAGGUGAGUGGAAUUCCCAGUGUAGCGGUGAAAUGCGUAGAUAUUCGCAAGAACACCAGUGGCGAAGGCGGCUCACUGGCCCGAUACUGACGCUGAGGUGCGAAAGCGUGGGGAGCAAACAGG
rnacentral:rRNA from 1 species